AGGAUUCUACUGAGGGGGAAAACAAGAGGAAGAAAGAAAGAUAGACAAGGUUUUCCUCAAGGCAGUAAGCAAAAAGCUGGUUUCUCAGAAGAAAGAAUUAUGUCUGAGAUUUUACCCAGGACUCUCCAGAUCUCUCAUUCUACACAGAAGGACCCUUUCAUUUGGAACGUGCAGAAACUGAGGAGGACCAUCUCUCUCCUCCAUGGGGGCUGCCUGAGUUAAAAAGGCCUGGGUCCAUCUUUUUUCCGUAGGAGAGCUGACUUCAGAGUCUAGAGCCAAAUCUUCACUUCUGUGGCUCUAGAUUGAGGAUUUGCCCUUCUGAUCUCUGUGGGGCUUUUUUUUUUUUUUUUUUUUAACCUGGGAAUUCCCCUGGGCUCUUCGGCUGUUAUUCUCAUCAACCCCUCUCUGUAUUCUGCAAGACAUUGAAAUCUUUCUCCCAGCUUGGCCCCCACCUCCAAUCCCAGUAUUCUCUUUUCUCAGAUUGGAGUAUUUCCAACCCCUCAGUUGCCAGGCACUGAAGGUUUUCAUCUUCCAGGCCUGCCAUGUUUACCUCUGAGAUGUUUCUGGCAACUGUCCACUUCUCUGCAUUCUCACACUGCUGCUCUUGAUAAGCUUCGAUUAUCUGGGGCUGAAUUGUUUCAAUAAUUUCCUAACUGAUUUUCUUGCCUCCUAUCUGUCCCCACUACCAACAUAGGCUUAAGAAUGUCACUCUCUUGACAAAACAAGCCAACAUCCUCUAUCCUCUGUCCCACUCCCAAACCUGCAGUAACUUUCCUGUGCAAUUGUAAUACAGUGUAAACUUUCAUAAGGAUGGGGAGUGGCCAAGAUGGCUGACCAGAAGCAGGUAAUGUACGUGGCUCUCACGGAGAGGAACAGAAGGGACGAGUAGAUACAACACCUUCAACUGAAACAUCCGGGUACUCGCAUUGGGAUUAAUCAAGGAAACAACCUGACCCACAGAGAACAAGGAAAAGCAAGACAGGACAACAGCCCACCUGGGAGCAACAGGGAACCAGGGGAUCUUCCCCUGCCCAGGGAAGUGGUCCUCCAGGCCUCGGCCUCCAGCCACUCCCCACCAGAGCUAUCCAGGCAAUACCAACUCAGCAACUUCCAGGACAGUGCCUCCAGGGGCAAUUGAAAGUGUCUUAGCCACUGCCUCUGCUGUGGAACUCCCCUUGCCAUCCUUGGACUAAAGAAGGAGCAAAGACCCUAAGUGCCUUUUCCAUACCAACAAGCUGCAGUAGACCCAAGGAAAGGAGGCCAGUCCAUCUCCCAUGUGUUCCACACUGCUCACCAGACAGGCAACCCCUGGCUUGGGUCCAAAGCACGAAUCCUCCAUCUUGGGCUGAUUGCACUGAGCAAUUGGUAACCUGCAUUUUUCUGGGGGUAGAGCCCCCAGGAGUCAAGCAAACGACUCUCGGCCACAACACCUACUAAGAUGAGCCUCUGCUACUUCUAAGCUGGGGAAGGAACAUAAACACUGAGAUCACUCCAGAGCUGCAGUGGGCAGUCCAGGGGUGCUAAGUCCUGAACUACAGCCAGCACUCAAGGGGGAGAGGAACCCACACUUUCGGAGCACUGAGAGGGAACACAGCUGCAACUGUGAAGAAACAUACAGGAGCAGGAGUCUACCAAUUGACCAAUAAGCCUAAGUGUCACCUGCGGGAUCACACCCCAAAGCUUCAACACGAAAAAUAUUUCACUAACAUACACACCUCUGAAACCAGAGACAAGAAGUCAGCUUCAAAUAAAGACCCUAUAGAAAGCCUCAGCACAGUGAAAACAUCCAAAAAAGAAGUCUAUUGACUGUAGUCAAUCUACGUUGCAGUCAAAUGAACACCCACACACAGAGAUGAGAAAGAACCAAUGCAAGAACUCCAGUUACUCAAAUGGCCAGAGUAUCAUACGUCCUCCAAACGAUCACACCAGUUCUCCAGCAAGAGUUCUUAACCAGGCUGAACUGGCUGGAAUAACAGAAAUAGAAUUCAAAAUAUGGAUAGGAACAAAGAGAUCAUCAAGAUUCAGGAAGAUGGCAAAACCCAAUCCAAGGAAAAUAAGAAUUACAAUAAAGUAAUACAGGUGCUGAAGGAUGAAAUA